AAUUAAUGAUCUUGAGUCAUAAGAAUAUGUUUUGAAAACAUAAUAAAGAAACUUAAACUUUCUAUUAAUUU
rnacentral:tRNA from 1 species